UGACAGGUAUGCUAUAGUUGCAAAA
rnacentral:misc_RNA from 1 species